CCUUUAUGAAUUGGUUUAGAGUCUGAAUAAACUCAUAGAGUUAGUGUUGUCUAUCAGCUUCAUCUUUUGAUAACCACGAGAAUGGAGUUAAAUAACAGCACAACAUUU
rfam:Medicago truncatula strain A17 chromosome 2, whole genome shotgun sequence.